rnacentral:lncRNA from 1 species
AAACAUCUCCAGGUGGAAUAAAAGCUUCAUUUCGACUUCAGUGGGUAUCAUGGCCUUCUACUUCCUCGCUUCAGGAAAAUAAAAUAGCCCCCACUUCAUUUUUGUUUUGAUUUAUCUUGGGACCCCACCUGUACUUUGUCCAGGUGUGAGGGUCCCAACACAAGAAGGACUUUGACUUGUUGGAGUGAGUCCAGAGAAGGGCCACUAAGUUGAUCUCAAGUCUGGAGCACCUUUCUUAUGAAGACAGGCUGAGGGGCCACAGGACAGCUGGAGAGGGACCUUUGACAAAGGUUUGAGGUGGUAGGACAAGAGGAAUUGGCCUUAAGCUGUGGGAGGGAAGGUUAGAUUAUAUAUGGGGGAGAAAUUCUUCGCUGUGAAGGUGGUGAGACACUGGAAUAUGAUGCCCAGAGAAGUUGUGGGCUCAUCAUCCCUGGAAGUGUCCAAGACUGGGCUAAAUGGGGCUAUGAGUAACCUGGUCUAGUGGAAGGUGUCCCUGCCCAUGUCAAGGAGUUUGGAACAAGAUGAUUUUUAAGGUCCUUUUCAACCAAAGCCAUUCUAUGAUUGCAUGAUUUGAUAAUAAUCUUUGUUUCUUGUAAAUCUUAUGAUUUGUUAGCUGAACCAAAUAUCAUGCUCAUCAGUCAUGCCUGAAACCCUCCCUCCUACUCAAAAGCCAGAUGUGAACCAUGGACAAAAGGGGCUGAGAAUGGGCAAGUAUUCUGAGAAGUCUGGUUUGUGCUAGGCCUUGUCUGUGACAGCAACUGCCUCUGAGCCUCCAUGAGCAAAGUGUAUUUGGCUGAGCCCACUCCUCACACACUUCCUUCUGCUGUAGUCAGACUUCUGAACAUGAGCAGGCUGAUGAAAACGGAAAUGGCAGGCAAGGUCCCAGACAACUCCUCCAGACAAUGCCUGCAUAACUGGAGGAAGUCACAGACCUCUCUCUGAUAAGCAGGAGGAUCAGCCUUCACAAGUCUAGGGAAUCCUGCCACAAUUGAACAUAAAUGGUUUUACUGAGCUUCCAGACAAAACCUUCUUAAAUCUGCAUAUUGGAAGAAACAAUAAGAAUAACGGACCAAAAAAAUGUACCUGGUGUUUCCCUUCACCUUCCCAGAUGCAAAGCAAGGUAUGUACAGGGCACAUUCAGGUUCUCAUUUGUCAAAGUACUACCUAAAAAAGACUUUGGAAGCUGUGUGGACUAAAAUUCUCUGUUGCAUAGCUGUGGUUGUCCAGAUCUGGGC